rnacentral:rRNA from 1 species
UCUUUUCCUUUUGUGCCCGCCGCCGCGGUAAAACGUAGGUCACAAGCGUUGUCCGGAAUUACUGGGUGUAAAGGGAGCGUAGGCGGGAUCGCAAGUCAGAUGUGAAAACUAUGGGCUUAACCCAUAAACUGCAUUUGAAACUGUGGUUCUUGAGUGAAGUAGAGGUAAGCGGAAUUCCUAGUGUAGCGGUGAAAUGCGUAGAUAUUAGGAGGAACAUCAGUGGCGAAGGCGGCUUACUGGGCUUUAACUGACGCUGAGGCUCGAAAGCGUGGGGAGCAAACAGG